UACAGAGGGGGCAAGCGUUGUUCGGAAUUACUGGGCGUAAAGGGCGCGUAGGCGGCCUUCUAAGUCGAACGUGAAAUCCCCGGGCUCAACCCGGGAACUGCGUCCGAUACUGGAGGCCUCGAGGCGGGUAGGGGCGUGCGGAACUGUGGGUGGAGCGGUGAAAUGCGUUGAUAUCCACAGGAACUCCGGUGGCGAAGGCGGCACGCUGGACCCGAUCUGACGCUGAGGCGCGAAAGCCAGGGGAGCAAACAGG
rnacentral:rRNA from 1 species